rnacentral:rRNA from 1 species
AUUGAACGCUGGCGGCAGGCCUAACACAUGCAAGUCGAGCGGGGUUUUCGGACCUAGCGGCGGACGGGUGAGUAAUGCGUAGGAAGCUACCCGAUAGAGGGGGAUACCAGUUGGAAACGACUGUUAAUACCGCAUAAUGUCUACGGACCAAAGUGUGGGACCUUCGGGCCACAUGCUAUCGGAUGCGCCUACGUGGGCUUAGCUAGUUGGUGAGGUAAUGGCUCACCAAGGCGACGAUCCCUAGCUGGUUUGAGAGGAUGAUCAGCCACACUGGAACUGGGACACGGUCCAGACUCCUACGGGAGGCAGCAGUGGGGAAUAUUAGACAAUGGGCGCAAGCCUGAUCCAGCCAUGCCGCGUGUGUGAAGAAGGCCUUCGGGUUGUAAAGCACUUUCAGCGAGGAGGAAGGGGUGAGUGUUAAUAGUACUCAUCUUUGACGUUACUCGCAGAAGAAGCACCGGCUAACUCUGUGCCAGCAGCCGCCGUAAUAC